GGUGCUUUAGCUAAAUGGUGAAGCGGCGGACUGUUAAUCCGUGAUAGCAAGGUUCGAGUCCUUGAGGCACCG
rnacentral:tRNA from 1 species